AGUGAACGCUGGCGGUAGGCCUAACACAUGCAAGUCGAACGGCAGCACAGUAAGAGCUUGCUCUUACGGGUGGCGAGUGGCGGACGGGUGAGGAAUACAUCGGAAUCUACUUUUUCGUGGGGGAUAACGUAGGGAAACUUACGCUGAUACCGUAUACGACCUACGGGUGAAAGCAGGGGAUCUUCGGACCUUGCGCGAUUGAAUGAGCCGAUGUCGGAUUAGCUAGUUGGCGGGGUAAAGGCCCACCAAGGCGACGAUCCGUAGCUGGUCUGAGAGGAUGAUCAGCCACACUGGAACUGAGACACGGUCCAGACUCCUACGGGAGGCAGCAGUGGGGAAUAUUGGACAAUGGGCGCAAGCCUGAUCCAGCCAUACCGCGUGGGUGAAGAAGGCCUUCGGGUUGUAAAGCCCUUUUGUUGGGAAAGAAAAGCAGCAGGUUAAUACCCCGCUGUUCUGACGGUACCCAAAGAAUAAGCACCGGCUAACUUCGUG
rnacentral:rRNA from 1 species